AAUAUUGCACAAUGGGGGAAACCCUGAUGCAGUCCAUGCCGCGUGUGUGAAGAAGGCCUUCGGGUUGUAAAGCACUUUCAGUAGGGAGGAAGGUAGUGUAGUUAACACCUGCAUUAUUUGACGUUACCUACAGAAGAAGCACCGGCUAACUCCGUGCCAGCAGCCGCGGUAAUACGGAGGGUGCGAGCGUUAAUCGGAAUUACUGGGCGUAAAGCGCAUGCAGGCGGCCUGUUAAGUCAGAUGUGAAAGCCCGGGGCUUAACCUCGGAAUUGCAUUUGAAACUGGCAGGCUAGAGUCUUGUAGAGGGGGUAGAAUUUCAGGUGUAGCGGUGAAAUGCGUAGAGAUCUGAAGGAAUACCAGUGGCGAAGGCGGCCCCCUGGACAAAGACUGACGCUCAGAUCGCGAAAGCGUGGGGAGCAAACAGGAUUAGAUACCCUGGUAG
rnacentral:rRNA from 1 species